CAUUUAAAAAUAUUCUUAAAAUCUCAUUUUAAAGUUUUAUCUGUGUUUUCAUGAUGAUAGUUGUAAUACUUUAUUUACCUUGAUUGUCAGGAAGAGUUGGCUCCAAUGGAUAACUGGCCCCGUCAGGAGGAUCAAGUGGAUGAACUUGAGUCCCAUUAUAAUGAUGAGGAGGAGGAGCAUAUGCUGGAGUCACAUUAUAAUGAUGAGGAGGAGGAGCAUAUGCUGGAGUCCCAUAAUUAUGAUGAGGAGGAGGAGCAUAUGCUAGAGUCCCAUAAUGAUGAGGAGGAGGAGCAUAUGCUAGAGUCCCAUCAGGAUGAGGAGGAGCAUAUGCUAGAGUCCCAUAUAAAGGAUGAGAUGCAUGAAGUGGAGUGUAGCAAAGAGGACAAACUACAGGAUCCAAACCAGCAACCCUGUAGAGUAAGAAAAGACUGAGCUUUGUGCAGCUAACAUUUUACCAUGGUGCCAUUGAACAGCUGAGAGCUACCUGGGUACAGCCAUGUCUCCCAGCCCCUGUGAGAGGUUCCUGUGGGACGUUUCACUGGAAUGGUCCAACAAGGCCUCAUCUCUAGGUGCACCAGUUUCCAACCCAGAACACUUCAUCAGUGGUUCUUUGAAGUCCUCCUGUGAGCUUCUUGAAGGAUUCUUUUGAGUUUCCUGUUCAGGAAGCUAGAGCAUUAAGCAUCACACAGAAGAGACAAACAAUGGUGUUUCUAUCCAUAUAUAUAUAUAAUUCUAUUUUAUAUAUUACUUCCUAUUUUAUUUAUUACUUCCUACUGCUAUUUUCUACCUUUUUAUGUAGAUCUUUUUUUGUAGCUCCAGUGACACCAACCGUCCCCUCAAGUGUUUUCUCUCUAUCAAACAAGGGCAGAUACACGUAUUCAAUCCUUCUUUACUUUUCCCUCAGUGUUCAAUUCACUUAAAAAAAAAAAAAAAACUUACCUGACUUUGUUUCUCUUAUUAUCAUUGAUUUGCUUCAACAAUUCCGCUUUGUAUUUUUCUUUUUUCGUCGCAGCUAUCAAUUUAUUCUCUUCCUCUGACACUCCUGCAAAAACACCAGUGAUGUUCCUGACUAGGGUGAAGCCAGGAUAUUUACUCGUAUUUGAAAUGUGUUUACCAAUCAUGAGUCCAGUAGCCAGCGGUUGAAGUUUGUUCUUCUUUCUUUCAUAGUCUGUUCCCAGCUUGGAUCCUGAACCUAAACCUGUAGAGUGCAAAACACAAACAGGCAGCUUGUAGCAAAAAGUAAACCCCGUGUUUACUAUCAGAUGAUGAGAUUAUACAUUACCUCUGUCAGCUGAAAAAUGCAGCAUUUUUUCGUCACUCACACCAGCUCCAAACUGUGAAAAGUAUUUAGAUUAAAAUUGGUUCUGUGUAUUUUGGAAUUGUGCUCAUUGGGUAAGGCAAUAAUAAGAAAUAUACUUCAGCCUUAACCCUUUCAGUCAUUAUGUAUAGAUUUAUUUAUUUUUUGCUGUGUAAAGCCUUGUUUUAUGGAAUGAAAAAAAAAAAUUAAAUAAAUAAAUAAAUGAAUUGAAAGAAAUAAAUAAA
rnacentral:lncRNA from 1 species